rnacentral:rRNA from 1 species
GUGGGGAAUUUUGGACAAUGGGCGCAAGCCUGAUCCAGCAAUGCCGCGUGUGUGAAGAAGGCCUUCAGGUUGUAAAGCACUUUUGGCAGGAAAGAAAUAGUGCGUGCUAAUACCAUGCGCGAAUGACGGUACCUGCAGAAUAAGCACCGGCUAACUACGUGCCAGCAGCCGCGGUAAGACGUAGGGUGCAAGCGUUAAUCGGAAUUACUGGGCGUAAAGCGUGCGCAGGCGGUUUUGUAAGACAGGUGUGAAAUCCCCGGGCUCAACCUGGGAACUGCACUUGUGACUGCAAGGCUAGAGUGUGUCAGAGGGAGGUGGAAUUCCGCGUGUAGCAGUGAAAUGCGUAGAGAUGCGGAGGAACACCGAUGGCGAAGGCAGCCUCCUGGGAUAACACUGACGCUCAGGCACGAAAGCGUGGGGAGCAAACAGGAUUAGAUACCCCGGUAGUCC